CUACGGGUCGCACCAGUCAAGAAUCUUCCUCAAUGGCCGAAAGGCUGAAGGAGCGACGCCGCGUGUAUGAAGAAGCCCUUCGGGGUGUAAAAUACUUUUUUGCGGGACGAAACAAUGACGGUACCGCAAGAAUAAGGGGCUGCUAACCUCGUGCCAGCAGCAGCGGUAAUACGAGGGCCCCAAGCGUUAUCCGGAUUUAUUGGGCGUAAAGGGUCCGUAGGUGGUUUGUCACAUCUCCUGUUAAAUCCCAAGGCUCAACCUUGGAACUGCGGGAGAUAUGGACAAACUAGAGGCCGGGAGAGGCAAGCGGAAUUGCUGGUGUAGGGGUUAAAUCCGUUAAUAUCAGCAGGAACACCAAAUGCGAAGGCAGCUUGCUAGAACGCGCCUGACACUCAUGGACGAAAGCGUGGGUAGCGAAUGGGAUUAGAUACCCGUAGUC
rnacentral:rRNA from 1 species